UACAGAGGUCCCAAGCGUUGUUCGGAUUCAUUGGGGCGUAAAGGGUGCGUAGGCGGCGCGGUAAGUCGGGUGUGAAAUCUCGGAGCUUAACUCCGAAACUGCAUUCGAUACUGCCGUGCUUGAGGACUGGAGAGGAGACUGGAAUUUACGGUGUAGCGGUGAAAUGCGUAGAUAUCGUAAGGAAGACCAGUGGCGAAGGGCGGGGUCUCUGGACAGUUCCUGACGCUGAGGCACGAAGGCGUAGGGGAGCAAACGGG
rnacentral:rRNA from 1 species